GCGAUAUACCUUUUCCUUGCCAAUGUCAACAAGAGACGAGGAGGAUGGAUGUGGUGAAAAACGCUCAUGUCGGUCACUUGAUAGCAUAGGCCUAUUUUCCAUCCUUUGUGUAAGUUCUGUCAUGGUUAGUAUAAGACAAGAAACAAAACACAGGAAUAUGUUCCUAUCAACUAAUAGGAUGUGGCUACAAGUCGCUCAACUCUCAAGCUAAAAAUCAAGUUCUUACCAUGCAAAACAGGAAGGUGAUGGCCAGCGGCGUGACCCAGCCCUCCGAAGAUUAAAUGUAUCGAUGCCUCGGUAACAAACCAACCUAGGUGUAAAAUCUGUGGAGCUUGGAGGCUUUUGUGAGUAGCAAAGAAUAGCAAAUAAUCAAAUCAGCAAUGCAAAGUUGAAAAUAUGCUCAAUAAUGCUAGUCCUAGCUGCUGGAAUCGAUAAGAACGAAUUACAGAAAUAAUCUAAGCCUAAAUACUGAAGAACGUAGGAAUAGAUAGAUCAAAAGAUGGCACAACAAGUAAAUCCCUGGGAUUUUUUUUUGUGGCUUUCUGUUUUGCUUCUUAUUCUUUUCUUCUUCUUUUUUUCUUUUUUUUUUAACCCCAGAAACUCACGCAAAAGAAGGACCGGAAAACUGUACGUCGGUCUGUCGAAGAACAGCAAAGGCUGCAGUAAGAAAAAUUCAGAAAAAUAUGGAAAAAAUAUGGGUUAGAAGGGUAUCGACACAAGCUUUCCAGCAAGGGCAAGAUCACUCAAAACGGAUGUCGGACGGUGGAGAAAACUGAGAAACACCGGGCUGCAGCGACGCCGGAAAACGGAUGCAGAAACUUGGAAGUUCCGAAAGUCCUCCUUACAAACCGAAUUUGAGGGUCAAAGUGUAGGGCAGCGCCCCUGAUAUUUCCUGAUGCGCCUCGUCGUGAGCUUUCUAAAAAGUCUAAGAACGUCCAAAUCCGAGUUGGUACGCAAAAGAUACGCCCGUUUUACUGAACACGGGUCAAACCCACCCGAAACUAAAAAUCUACUCGGACUCGGGUCCGAAACUGACUCGAACUCUUUCUCUUUUUUUUUUGUUUUUUUUUCUUUCUUUCCUUUUUUUUCCUUUCUUUUUUUUUCAACUUUCCAAACAACUUGAUCUCUAAACAAAAUUCGAUCUAUGAUGAAACACUUUCCAAAAGCCCUCCUUAUUGGACUCGGACUCGAACUCGCGGCUGAAAACUAUUACUUGCCGACUCGAUGUAGAACUCGAAGAGGGACUCGGUGUAGGACUCGAAGAGGGACUCGGUGUAGGACUCGAAGCGGGACUCGGUGGAAGAUAUGGUGGCGGCGGGAGAUUAUGGCGGUGGUGUGGCAGGAAGUUUGGCGGCGGAAGAUUGAUGAAGGAAACCUGCGUCACACGAAGAACAAGAAAACCAAAACCAAGUUCGAUCUAGUAGAAAAAAUCUGAAAAACGAUCCAAUCUAAUCCAGCAACUCGACACGAUUAAUGCAGCAAAGAUUCAACAAUGCAAAUGUUAAAGUGAAAAUUGCAAGGCUCAGAUUGGUUCUAGGACAAGGUAACUAAUUCUAAUCUUUGUUUGGCUUUUUCUGGACGAUAGGUAAAAACAGAUCUAAACUAGGGAUAAACUGGAAAAAUCUCACCGAGCAACCUUAAGCUCUGAUACCACGUGAUACGGGUGCGGGUGGCCUGAUCUUUCGAUGAGAUUGAUAACUCUCGAUUUGGGUAGGAGGUGACGUUGACGAUCCGACUACGGCCUAGGAGGCAGCGCCUUAGCAAUCGAUACACCAACUCCAGAGGGUUAUUGAUCACGCGGGGGCACGAUCAACCUGACCACGAAGGUCUUUGUUCCUGCAAGCAAUCGAAGAACAAGUAAGAACAAGAUAAAUAGUGGAUGCAAUCUAAAAUUGCGAAUAUACUAUACCAAACAAAUGUCUCAACGAGACGAUAAGUUGGAGUCUUGACGACGGUAAAACAGGUGGUCUAACCGACACACGCGAUUACGCGAAAGUAGCAAAGAUGGCUAAACUUUAUCUAAUCAAAACCCAAGGCUCCUUAGGGGGGCUCAUGGGGUAUAUAAAGGAGGAGGGAGAGAUAUUUUCAUCCACCUUGAGUAAGGAGGCCGAAAUUCAACUCUAUCUCUUACUUUCCUAACAAAGUACAACUCUUUAGGAAACAGAAAAACAGAUCCGUCAGCUUGUUUUGUCCGUCACGGUCAGCACGAGUCGAAUAUCUUGAUGGGGCCAGAUCCGUUGGAAAGGUCUUGUAAUUACCUUUCCAACAAGUACUUGUUUGCUUGAUUUGGACUCCGUAUGCGGCCUGGGUGAUUAAAACAAAUUCCGGUCUCCUGACAGUUCGGACCCGAAUCGGAUUCAACUUUAAUUCGUGAUAUCUUUCUCUAGCAAGCUCCGAAUCAUGUGCCGUUUGAUUUGUUGGAAAGUAGAUUUGAUAGGCUUCACUUUGAAUCUCCCUUUGCAGGCUAUCACACUUUAUCUUCACUUUGGACUUGUAAAGUUCAAUAAGAUGCCUACAUAAUAAGAUUACACAAGAUAGUAGCUCCGCCUCUUUGCAAGUAACAUAUUGAAAACAUUUUGUAAUUGAAUUCACCUGAUUAUAAUUGUUAUUAGAUAUACCAACAAUUAGGGUUCUAAUGGUCGUAUCCAUGGUUAGCAUGUCCAUAUCAUAAAUCCUUCAAAAGGAAACUAGGAUUUAUUAAGAUGCGAAUAAUAGCCCGGAUAAAAUCAUAAUAUGCAAAUGGUUCCAAAUAAAAUACUUUGAACUUGUAUAAAUGUCCCAACCAUGUUAUAUAAUUUGGAUAGUCAUAUUAAUCCACUCUUUUAUUGAAUAUUCAAACAUGGUGUGGAAAAAUUUAAAUAAGUCCUAAAAAUUUAAAAUCCUUCAGAAUUUUCACAACCAAAAAUAUCUCCAAAGACAAUAUUUUAAUUAAAACAAUUAUUUAAUUUAACAUUCCAAAAUGGAAAAAUUCUGGGAUGUUACACCUCUAGCAAUUGGGAUGCAUUGGAUGCCAAUAUGGCGCUAUACCGCUUUCAUGUGCAGAAGAUUAGUGGCCACUUUGAAGGGUGCGAGUUUCAUCAUAUACCGCGGGUGGAGAACGAGGCAGCCGACACUCUGUCAAAGCUCGGAUCAACGCGACAGGCCAUCCCGGCUGGUGUUACAUUGGAACAUUUACGCAAGCCAUCCAUGAAGCCGUCACCAGAAUCGGAGUCAAUAUUUAUUCCAGCAACCUCAAAAACUGACGUCACUCCAAUGGACAUUGACAGUGGCAGCGGUUCCGAUAACCGGGGACUGAAUGCCCUAACUCGGCUGAAGCAAUGGCGGCUGAACCGAUGGACAUAGAUGAGCCAGUCUUCGUAACUCGUCCUGUGCCGGCUUGGGCGCAACCGAUAAUGUCCUACCUCAAGGAUGGGAGCCUGCCAGAAGAGGAAGUGUCGGUAAGGCAAAUUCAGAGAAGAGCAAAGGCAUACACCAUUAUCAAUGGCGAGCUGUACAAGAGAAGUGUUACUAACGCUUGCAACGAUGCGUUGAGCCGGAAGAAGGACAAGAAAUACUCCAGGAUAUUCACCAGGGGGAGUGUGGUCAUCAUGCAUCUUCAAGAACAUUGGUGGGCAAGGCAUUCCGGCACGAUUUUUACUGGCCGAGUGCGCUACAGGAAGCAGAAGACAUGGUCAGGAAAUGCAACGAUUGCCAGAGGUAUGCCAGCAAAAUUCAUAUGCCGGCAUCUGAGCUCAAGACUAUCCUAAUCACUUGGCCGUUUGCCGUUUGGUAUUUGGAUAUGGUGGGACCCUUCAAGCGGGCGCGAGGAGGUAUGACGCACAUCUUGGUCAUGGUUGACAAGUUCACCAAAUGGAUCGAAGUGAAGCCGAUACGGAAGUGUGACGGCAAGACCGCGGUGUCAAUUUUGAAAGACAUUAUCUAGAGGUACGGUUACCCGCAUAGCGUCAUCACGGAUAAUGGAACAAACUUCGCAGAGGGGCCUUUUGCACAAUUUUGCGCGGAAAAGAAAAUCCGGCUGGGUAUCGCCUCAGUGGCACAUCCUUAGUCCAACGGACAAGUUGAGAGAGCAAACGACAUGGUUCUAGCCGGCAUAAAACCUCAGAUAAUUGAGCCACUGGAACGCACUCCAGGAUGCUGGCUAGAUGAACUCCCGGCUGUGCUAUGGAGUCUCAGGACAACUCUGAAUCGCUCCACAGGCUAUACGCCAUUUUUCCUCGUAUACGGGGCGGAAGCUGUCUUACCAGCUGACAUUGAACAUGACUCUCCGUGAGUGACCAUGUAUACGGAAGCCGAGGUAAAAGAGGCCCGAGAAAAUGAUGUCGACCUGCUCAAAGAAGCACGGGAAUUGGCUUUAUCUCGGUCAGCCAUGUAUCAACAACACCUAAGGCAUUAUCAUAGCCGGAAGGUAAACCCGUGGGUAUUCCGGGAAGGAGAUAUUGUGCUCCGGCUUGUGCAGCGUACAGUCGGCAUGCAUAAACUGUCGCCACCAUGGGAGGACCCUUCAUUGUGAGCAAAGCGCUGCACAAUGAUUCCUACUAUCUUAUAGAUGCGCAGGAUCCGAACGCAAAAUGGAUGGACCGGUCUGGCGAGGAAACCAAGAGGCCAUGGAAUGUAGCUUUGCUUCAUCCAUUCUAUACUUACGAGAUGAGUAUUUGUAUCGCUUUUUCCUUAUGUUAAGUAUUUUGAGACAAUGAAUUAUCCGCCGGUUUCUUAAAAGGAACUCAGGGACUUCCAUGCUAUGUAAGUGUUGUAUUACAUUUAUCUAUUUGUAUGUCGGCAUGGCUUGAUUGUGUAAUCUUAUGUCGGUUUAGUAGUUUGUCGGUACUGAAAACUCCAUCUAUGACUUAGCUGUUGUCCGCAACCCGGCUUCAUGGCAAGCUAGAGUAUGGGUACGAAAUUACUGGACACAUGAAAAACGAUUGCGGAGACAAGCAAAUGAGCGAGUUGAGAUGCGCGUUAUUUUUCCUAACCCAACAUUUCCUUCUUGUAUCGGGCGUUUCCAAACGGAUUUUUUGAGUUUAAUAUUUUCUGGAAGGUCUAUUCUAUGACUUCGUGAUUCAUACGUCGAACGCCGACAAGGCAGACAAAGAACCAAGGUCAUACAAUUUUACCAACAGAAAAAAUAAACUCGGGAACUCGGUUGGGACUCGAUAAUUAAAAAGGCAUAAGCAAAUUAAAAGUAUUGUGCAUCACAACCAAAAGUAUUUCAAAGUAUUUACAUUUGCAGCCGGCAUCCCGGGGAUCUAAUAGCCUUAAAAGUUUUUGCCGACGUAACUAGGCUCAAACAGAAGGAUUGUUGGUGUCGGCACUUGGAGCAUCUGUCGCGGUGGAAGCCGACUCGACCACGAUCUCUUCGUCGCCUUCCUCUUCUUCCUCCUCGGCCGCCUCCUCGUCCGCGUCUGAUAUCGGACCCUCCACAAACUCCACGUCUGAUACUGGAUGAAGGAGUAGGCCCCUUCUUGACGUCUCGCGAUCAGCUCCGGGUCCGAAAGGAAGCAUGAGCCGACACGCAUGGACUGCAGCACGUCAAGGUUAAUGCCGUCGUACCAGAAAAGUACGAACGACAGUGCCUUGUCGGCGCUGACACGAGCGGCCGACUCCCGCCACUCGCUUAGCUGGUCCUCCACCCCCAGGAGAUGCUUUGCUAAUUCCGGGAUGCCACUCGGCGCUUCCUCUCCCGGUCACAGAGCUCGGAAGGCACGGAUGCCGGCAUUGAGCAUGUCGACCUCGAAGGACUUCACAGGCUUGACGCGGGUCCAAAUGCUGAUGAGGUAGUCCUCCACGUCAUACUCCGAGGGCAGCGCCUUGGCUGAAUCCCUUUCCCCGCGAGCCUUGAUCACGGCGGCCUGAGCACUCUCGGUAGAGUGGGGAAAAAUUUCUGACAAGGACAAAGAAGAAUAAUGAAUCUCGGCAUACUAUUGUUGUCGGUUUAGUGAUCAACGGAAGGGAUUUGAGUUAAGGCAACUUACUGGCCAGCAGUCCAUCUAUCUUGCCGAGAUCCUUAGCGCACAGAUUGAGCGUUUGGGCAUUCUCGACCUUCUCCUCCUUAGCAGCAGUGGCUUGAGCCUCGGCCUUGGCGACAAGAUCUUUACAUUUCUGCACCUCACCUUCCAGGCGGAUCUUCUCGUCGGCUUGCGUGGAUAGGGCCGAGGUAAGUUGAACUACCUCGGCUUUGUGCGCCUCAGCCUGCGCUUCGAGUUGCGCCCUUAGCCGGGCCACCUCAUCUCGGUGCUGCUCCUCAAGCCGAGUUUUCUCCCUUGUUUGAAAGACAUUAAUUACAAGAGUCCAAGAUUGAAAUGGAUGCAACCGUUAACAUCCCAAAAUUUUAAACCCUUUCAUCUGCAUUGCAUUCAUGAGCAUCAUGCCACAAUUGCAUUUUCAAUCUUGUUUUGAAUUCCAAAAAGGCUUUGAAAAGAGCUUUCUUUAUUUUAAACCUUGCCUUUUUACCAAUUUGAGUUUUGGAUUUUAAACCAAUAAGGUUUUGAACAUAAAAAGGGCUUUAUAGCAUUAUUAAGCUACCCCAUUGUAACAUACCAAUUUUCAACUCUUGAAUAUUGCAUGUUACUCAUGCCUUUUGAUUGUCACUACCAAUUUUUUUUCUUGACUUUUAAUAAAAUAAUUGGGCACUGAUUAUUUAAUAUCAUUAUUUUACCUAUGAAUCUUUAUACUACAAAGGAAUAGUCCCACUUUGUUUCUAUGCAAGUGGGGUGUUGCCAACCCAUGAGCAUUUAGCCGCACAAAAUAAAUAAGCUUCGCUUAUUAUUUUAGCGGUAGGAAAUCUCAUCCUUUCCAACUGUUUUCAAUUCUAAAGUUCGAAACAUUGUAGAAGCUUUUACCAAAUAUUUUGAAUCUUCUCAAAUAUUUAAUCCGGCUAUCAACUCACCUUUCUCUACAACAUGGCUGACGUGAAGUUCCUAGGCAGAAGAGUCUCACGUGUGGGAGAAUUCCCAUUUCUUUUCUCAUCUUUUAUUUCUCUAUUCUUUUUCCCUUGGGCCCUUCUUUUCCCUAGCCCAUUUGGCCGACCAGGCCCAUCCAUCCGGCCAGCAGCCAAGCCAGCCCACAUGAUAUGGACAUGCUAACCAUGGAUACGACCUUUGGUACCCUCAAUUCUAUAAUAUUUGACAAGAUUUAUAAUCAGGUGAAUUCAAGUAGUAAUUGUUUUCAUUGUCAUAUUUAUGAAGAGGCGGAGCUACUACUAUCUUGUCUCGUUUUAUUACGUAGGCAUCUUGUCGAGCUUUUCAAGUCCAAGGUCAAGAUGAGAUACGAUGGAGGCGGACGGGAGGGCCAACAAGAAUCAAGCAUUCAUACAGCUGAGAGGGAAGGAUUUCAAGUGUACUUUCCAACAAAUUAAACGGCACAUGAUUCGGAGCUUGCUAGAGAAAGAUAUCACGAAUUAAAUUUGAAUCCGAUUCGGGUCCGAGCUGCCAGGAGACCCGAAUUUGUUUUAAUCACCCAGGACGCAUCCGGAGUCCAAAUCAAGCAAACAAGUACUUGUUGGAAAGGUAAUUAGAAGACCUUUCCAACGGAUCUGGCCCCAUCAAGAGAUUCGACUCGUGCUGACCAUGGGGGACAAAACAAGCUGACGGAUCUGUUUUUCUGUUUCCUAAAGAGUUGUAGUUUGUUAGGGAAGUUAGAGAUAGAGUUGGAUUUCGACCUCCUUACUCAAGGUGGACGAAAAUAUCUCUCCCUCCUCCUAUUUAUACCCCAUGAGCCCCCCUAUGGAGCCUUGGGUUUUGAUUAGAUAAAGUUUAGCCAUCUUUGCUACUUUCGUGUAAUCGCGUGUGUCGGUUAGACCACCUGUUUUACCGUCGUCAAGACUCCAACUUAUCGUCUCGUUGAGACAUUGGUUUGAUAUAUUAUAUUCGCAAUUUCAGAUUGCAUCCGCUAUUUAUCUUGUUCUUGCUUGUUCUUCGAUUGCUUGCAGGAACAAAGACCUUCGUGGUCAGGUUGAUCGUGCCCCCGCGGGAUCAAUAACCCUCUGGAGUUGGUGUAUCGAUUGCUAAGGCGCUGCCUCCUAGGCCGUAGUCGGAUCGUCAACGUCACCUCCUACCCAAAUCGAGAGUUAUCAAUCUCAUCGAAAGAUCGGGCCGAGCCAGCCCAGGCAUGCGCAGCGCUCCAGCGCCCUGCCAAAUCGAUCGAUCAGGCCACCAGCUAGUAGGAGCUUGUCCAGAUGCAUCCCCUAUGUGUGUUCUCCUCUAAUUUCUCCUUCCUUUUAUUUUCCAAUCCACCUGGAAGGUUUCCAUAUAUGAGACUUUCCAAAUCUGCACCCCUUGGCCACUAUAUAAAGCCUAGCACCCCUCCCUCAUUUCUCCACACACGCACAAGCCAUUGCAACCUCAAAGGAGGAACUCCACCGAAGAGUUUCAGCUUGAGAGGAGCUUGUAGUCAGAGAAUUGGAGAGACGAUCAUCAUCUUCUAAUUUCUGCCUUCAAUCGCUAUUGCUCAUCUCAAAUCCUUUUUCUCUAGCAUCCUAACCAAUUGUCCCAUUGGUUAUAUCACAUAUUCUUGAUGUGAUCAUAACAUUUUCUUGUCAUCACAAUUUUUCUAGAUUAGUUUUCCAGUAUCUAAAUUUGUCAUGACACUUAUCACUUUUGAUAUUUAUUUGGAGUUAUUUGAAUCUUACUUGCAAUUAUUUAUUUAUCAUCCUGCGUUGUAUACUAUGUUUAGGUGAGGGAGGUGACGUUGGUGACUACUUUGAAGAAGAAGACGAAGAACCACAGCAAACAGGCAUGCCGCCCCAUUCCUGAUCCUAUGUUUUCAAAAUACAAUGUUUGUAAAUUGCAUCAAACUACUGAGUCAAUAUGUUGAUUGUUAAUUACACCUAUUCAUCAAUUAUGAUGCCAUGUUUCGUAAUACCUUGUUCAUUGUCACCCUUUUGAAAAUCAGUAGAUAUUGCUUAGCCGCUAUAGGCUACACUGUUUUUGUUUGAGAAACACCGGAGUGUCCACUCCAUGAGAAUAAUUAUUAGAAGGAAAGUAUUGAGAUAGGAGUGGAGAAACUAUAGAAGGAGCUAAGUAUUAAAUUGGCUUUGCCAAUAACAACUCUGGGUGAAACUUACCAAGGUGGUGCGGGCAGCACGGAUGAAAGGGGGAGGAGUCGAUUGAUUCAUGGUUUGAUUGUAUUGUCGUUGCCAGUACCUCAUAAGGAUGAACAUUUGCUUACUUGAGAUAUUUUGUUAUAACCGUUCAACCAUGAGCUUAAAUGGGUACGGCGCGCCAACUAAGCUAGGGGAUACCAGAAGGAUCCGGCCACAGGACGAGAGUUAUUAUAGGUAACUGAGACUGCUGCGGUAGUCGGGCGCAAGAGGGGCCUGUAGCAGGAAGGGUUGCUCCACAGCCUGGCAGGGAAACCUUAGCGGGUCGGUGAUCUUUGGGAUAGCCUAGUGUAAAGGUGUGGAGUUGACGCUUGGAUCCACUCUUCUGAGUAGGAACAAAUCUGAGUAUCUAGUUGACUUCUCAUGGGUAAAGUUGAACAACCUCUGCAGAAUGUAAAACUAAUCGAUUAGCCGUGUCCACGGUCAAGGACGAGCAAAGUGUCUGGGCAACUGUUUAACCUUUCUUCUCUAUAUUUCUAUAAAACUUGAGAAAGAAUUGAGAAAUUAUUAGAAGGUUGCUGAGGCCACCUUAGCUGCCAAGUUGCUAAACUUCGCCGCUUGCUUCUGUUGUAGCUGUUGAGCUUCAUCAGACAGAACCCCACUUUAUUAGUAAUUAGAUCAUUUCUAUCAUUAAAUAUUGCUUUGGUGAAUUACCUAAAACUAGUGAUAUUUUUUUGCAAAUAAGACAAGCCCCCACCAUAAAGCCUUCAUAUAGAGUUUUAGUUGUUACGUUAAGGUUGCAUUAUGGGCGGCAGGCUGAGUACCACUGUGUACUCAUUGCAUGUUUGUUGAUAAUUUUGGGUACAGAGGAAUUCUAUUCAGAGGAGGAGUACUAUCAAGACGAAUGACGGCGUUCUGGUUACUUUGACUUCUGCCUGUGGAGUUGCUCAAGAUGGCGCCAUGUUUAUCUUUAUUAUCUCUGCUGUCUUUUUUUUCAAACUUUGUUAAAAGAGUGAAUUUGAGGCUUAUGACCCAGAUUAUGUAAACAUUUAUAUUUUUAAUGAUUAAUGUGUGUGAUGAUUUCACUUUAACUGUGUUGACGGCUAUUGAUCCUUGGGACGGUUAGCUAUACAGUAUGUUGAACUAGACCCGGACGGUCAGUUCCUCACACCCAUAAUGUUUGGUAUUUAAAUUAGAGUUGAAAAACUAUUAUAUUUAAUUAGUUAUGAAGCCCUAAAGGCAUUUAUAGGGCAAAGCUAUUUUUGUAUAUUUUAUGUGGAGGGAUUUAUAGUCCCAAAAGUUGAAUCAUAUUACAAUAUUAAAAAAUUUCUGGAGUUUAUUUGAAUCAAUUUGGAGUUCAAAAAUCAAAAGUUAUAAACGAAAACAGAAAAAGAAAAGGAUAGAAAAAAAAAAGAGUAAACGGACCGGCCCGGCAAACAUGGGCCGAACCGGCCCAGCUUCACCACGCGCCCGAGCGGCCAGGCCGCAGCCCACCUCGCCGCCCACGCGCGCGCGCCCGAGCAGCCACUGACAGGUGGGGUCCACCUGUAAGUCUUCGUCUUCCCCAUAGGGAAAGCUCCCGAAAUCGCGCGCGUGAACACCGCCACGCCAAUCUCGCCGCCAUUCUCGUCCCCGGCGAUUCUGAGCCUUAAAGAACUUUCCGUGCACGUCAAUAUAAAGCCUGAGCUCCCCUUCGUCUUUCACCUCUGUUUCCCCCCUCUCUCACGCGCCCACGCUGCCGUUUUUCCUCGCCAGAGAACGCACGGACGCCGCCGUGGUUUUUGGUCGCCGCCGACGAGACGGUACGGUUUAGACCCGAAGCCCUACCCCCUCUCCCUUCUCUCUUUCUUGCGCACGUUUUGACACGGUUGUUUCUCGUCGACGACCACCCGAAGCGCCGCCGCCGCCGCCGAGCACCGGAAACCCUAGCGCUCGCCUCCGUCACGCCCGAGGAAGAACUCAACCACCGAAAGCCUCCCCUCGUCGAGCCGCAUCCUCCCCACGCGUUCCUGAAGCCUGAGGAGCACCGGAACUCGCCGUGCCGCCGUCCCCGUGCCGCGCCGCCUGCCGGAAACCCUAGUGCCGCCGCCGAUAAGCCCCUGCCCAAUCUCGUCCGUCCGAUUCGUUUCAACGGUUGUGAUUAGAUCAUUUAAUCGAAGUGGUAUUUUUAGAUCCUAGCCACCGAUCCCCUUUAGGUUAGAUCCGACGGCUCCCUUUUAAUUUUAAUACCGAACCGGUACGCACCAAUAGGAAUGCGCCACGUGGCCCGAAUUGAAAAUUAAAACUUAAACCCCGGUUAGAAUAAAUGGCAGUUUUGCAGAAGAGCCCCUGAAACAUCAAAUCAUCAUAUCUUUUAAACUGCUUGGCCAAAUUUUAUGAUCUUUAUCUUUCUGGAAACCUUGGAACUUGUAGAAUCUUUUGUCACUGUUUAAGUUCAAUUUUGAUCAGUUGUUUCUGGUGUUAUUUACAGAAUAGUGUUUAAUGCCUUUUAAUUCAUAUCUUUUGUUUUAAAAAUCCUUUUAUCUUGAAACCAGAUCCCAAAAUUUUGUUAAUGUCCUCUGUUCUUUUGGAACAGAGAAAUAAAAUUUGGAUUAAAUUAGUUGGCUGAUUCUAAUAAAACCUUGUUUCAAGCUUUUAAAACCCCUUUUGUAAACUUUGCUUUUAACUUGUAGUUUUCAAUUAAUUUUUUUUAAUCCUUUUGACCAGAGGAUUAAUAUGGUGAGUAUGUGAAACUGAAACCCUUUCUUGUCAAAUAAAAUAAACCAAAUCAUGUCACAUGCCUGCAUUGCAUCAUACCAUACUUUUUUUUGUUUUGUUGUGAAUGGUUUGUUUAUGUAUGUGUAUGCUUGUUUAUUUUAGUUUAUUCGGACAGCGAACCGUGCGAUUGUGACGAGUGUUUGAACUCCAACUGCUAUCAAGGCAAGUUCACUUAGACCAUGAAUCCUAUUAUUUUGCUAUGCACUAGAAUUUCAUUAGUUGCAUGAAUAGGUUUAUUAUAGUAUUGAUGCUAGCUAUUGAAUUCCUAGCAGUAUAGAUUUACCCCUGUCAUUACCUUGCCACCCAAUUGCCAUCGUAGGUAGUUAAAUGCUAUGCUACUUUAGUAUUCGUGGGUGGGAUCAAUACAAUGAGAUAUUAUUGUCAUUAUGAAGUAAAGUAUGUUUUCCUACUGUAUGGCAAAACAAGUAAUUUAAUGAACUGUCCUGGGUGGGCUGCUUUGGAUACUUUUGAGAUGGUAUGCGGCGUCAAGUCCAUUUCUAUGGGUCCAUUUCUAUGAGUCGUCUCGCCAUUUCUAUUGGAGCUCCUGCAUCGCAAAUGAGAAAUGCCACCUGGGGUAUCAGAGACUGGACUAGUUUCCUGUUUAGUAGCUUCCAGUACAACCACAUGCUAAAUGGGCUCUGACUUGAUGGAGUAAGACAUAUGAUCCUGGAUCUGAGGUGACAUCGGUAUGUAGCAGUGUAGGUCGGAAUGCGUCCCUCAGGUGGUCUGGGUGAUUAUGGUCUGAAAAUUCUCGUAAUCGACGCCGUUGCUACUCUACCCUGAGGACAGCAAGGGAUUAACCCAUCGGUUUCUUGUGGGUAAAGUGUACAACCUCUCGAGAAUGUCAAACUAAGUACUUAACCGUAUCCCCAGUUACGGGCAAUUAUGAGCGACUAGAUUUGGGAGCUGUAAGGAAGGUCUCACUCAUUCUAAUUUCAUAAUAAAAUGAAUGGUUUGAACCUGGGUAGGAGCAUUGAUGUGUCUACUCAAUGUCCACUACUUUAAUAGGAGCAUGGGUGUAUCUACCCCGUGUCCAAUAGUGAAAAAACUAUUAGUUUAAAAAUGAUAGGAUGAAACAUUGAUGCUUUUAUGCAAAUAGCCAAACCCCACCUAGCCAAAAUAUGCAUGUACUUGGUAGGUCCUUUUAUAACCUCUGGUGAACUUGCCAAUACAUUCAAUGUAUUGACCUCUAGUGGCUGCAAUUAACAAUGCAGGUGGAUCAGACGACGAGUGAGGUUCGUCGUUGUUUUUUUUGGGUUACGAGUUUGCAUUCCAACAUGCUCGCCUUGGAGUAGUUGUGGCCCAUUUGCUUCUACCUUUCCACUGCUUAGUUUUUGAAACUCUAUUUUGAUAUGCUGACCCAAGAGGUCAUGCAGAUUUGUAAGUACUCUUAAAUUCUUCUUGAAUGCGAUGUAAUAAAGUACUUUGACUUUUGUAUCUCGAUAUUACAUCCUACGAUAUUACAUCCUAAAACUGUGUGUGCUAGAGAGUCGAUCAAUGGUGAUAACCCUUCUGCCUUCCGCUGCAAGAUUUUAUUUUCUUUGGAGAUAACCCAUGAGCUUAUGCAAUAUGUAAGCUACUAUUAAAUUCUGGAUCAAUGCGAUGUAAUAUACUUUUGACCUUUGUAUCUUGAUAUUACAUCUUGAAACUGUGUGUGCUAGCGAGUCGAUCCAGGGACUAGCACUAUAAGCACAGAGAUCGAACCCUGUACGGGGGCGGUCGCUUCACAACCCGAGAUAAGGACUCAGUCAUACCUUGCACUUCCGAGACGCGUUUCAGCAGCUCCGACACUUGAGCAUCGUUCCCGGCUGUGUAUGAGAGCACAUAUUAGUUUUCGCGGUACAUAGAUAGCUCAACAUAGCUUUUAUAUCGGUGGAAUUAUACUCACUCUUGUUCUGCUGUUCGGCCACCAAAGCUUUGUGCUUCACCGCCAGUUUCCGGUGCGCUGCAAGUAGAACUUUGAAGGUGGUGGUGUGCUUAUUCAUGCAGCUCCGCAAGACGGUGAUCCACGGUUAGUUCUAUUGCAGUGGCAAGUCAAUAGCUUUCAGCUUCAGGCCGACUACUCUAAACCCGGCCUGAAUCUCGCGGAAUAGUGUUUGAAGUUUUUUAAGCUUCAGGCCGACUAUUCUAAACCCAACCUGAAUCUCGGGGAAUAGUGUUUGAAGUUUUUUAAGCUUCAGGCCGACUAUUCUAAACUCGGCCUGAAUCUCGGGGAAUAGUGUUUGAAGUUUUUAAGUUUUGCGGAGCGUUUGAAGUUUUCUAAGAUGAGCUUCAGGCCGACUAAUUCUUACUCACCCUAAACCUCAGGGACUAGGAGUAUGCAUAAUGGAGAUAGAGUAAAAAACUUCAAAGGAAUUUUUCGUACCUCAGCAGCUCCAUUAGUUUAAUAGGAGCAUGGGUGUGUCUACCACGUGUCCAAUAGUGAUAAAACUAUUAAUUUAAAAAUGAUAGGAUGAAACAUUGAUGCUUUUAUGCAAAUAGCCAAACCCCACCUGGCCAAAAUAUGCAUGUACUUGGUAGGUCCUUUUAUAACCUCUGGUGAACUUGCUAAUACAUUCAAUGUAUUGAUCACGUAGUGGCUGCAAUUAACAAUGCAGGUGGAUCAGACGACGAGUGAGGUUCGUCGUUGUUUUUUUUGGGUUACGAGCCUGCAUUCCAACAUGCUUUCGCCUUGGAGUAGUUGUGGCCCAUUUGCUUCUACCUUUCCGCUGCUUAGUUUUUGAAACUCUAUUUUGAUAUGCUGACCCAAGAGGUCAUGCAGAUUUGUAAGUACUCUUAAAUUCUUGUUGAAUGCGAUGUAAUAAAGUACUUUGACCUUUGUAUCUCGAUAUUACAUCAUGAAACUGUGUGUGCUAGAGAGUCGAUCCAGGGACUAGCACUAUAAGCACACAGAUCGAACCCUGUACGGGGGCGGUCGCUUCAGAUGGGAUCAGAGCAUUGUGUUGCCUCUAGGAACAUGACCCUAGCUUGGAUUAGGAUAAGACCAAACCUUAGGAUUGAGCAUUUUUACUUCUUAUCCCUACCCGUCUAAAUCAUUGCUUUUACUUCUUACUCAUGCAUGUCAUAUUUAUUAAUUUAUUUAACCUUUACACCAAAUAUCAUGUCAUUGGACCACUAAUGCAUAUUUUCUUCCUGGUUUAUUUUGCCAUCCACCACUAUAAUCAUGUUGUCAUACUACACUCAUGUUAUCGUGCAUUUUUUUUCCAUUUCGUAAUUCCACCCUAAUCAUAUCUCCAACAUUUUUUUUUCUCUCCACCCUACUGUCUUUAUCUUUUACUUUACAUACAUUCAACCUCUUGAUCAUGUCACUGAUACUCCUCUACCAUUCCUUAUUUGUUUUCUAUAGAUGGAAAGCCCACCACCACCCUUUGGCAACGUUCCACCGUUCACUCACGUCUACUACCCCUCCAUCGACGAUGAGCAGCUGUUCAAUGCCCCCUUGGCGGCACUGUGUGCGUCCCUCAACCUGGCACCUCCCCGGUUCAGAGGCCGCGUCGAGCCCACCGUGCCCGAAGGAUGGCAGCCACGGUGGGAGAUUGAAGCGAAGAUCACUCCACCGACGCCCGAUAUCAACUUCAUCACCCGCUACCCCACCUAUGAGAAGGGCCUCUAGUUUGCCAUGCAGUGCGCCUUUGCGCAGGUGUGCCGGGAUUACCGGAACGAGCUCCCCGAGGACUCCCCCUUCCUCCUAUUUGGAAGGCGGAACCAUGCAUGCUCAGCCGUGGCAAUAGCCUCCAGCGAGGAAUUGUCCAAAGUGGCCGCCCAAUUUGAAAACAUGGAGGUGAAUACAGUGGAUUUGGAGACCUGUCUCGGUGAUGAGAUGGUCAGGGCUGACUUAGCCGGGGAGUUUGUCGGCCAACUACUGGGGGAAAAGGCCCAACUGCAGGAGGACAAGACAAUGCUGCAGAAUACUGUCCUCAACAUGGGUAACACCAUAGAGCAGCUGCAGUAUGAGAGGGACCAGGCCCGCUAUCACUGCGAGCAGUUCAAGGCGUUCCUGACCGCCGCCGCCGUAGCUGUACCCGCUCCCAUGCCAGCCACCACACCGGCACCUGUUCAGACCCCACCUCCACCUCAGGAUCAGGAGAUGGAGCCUCAGGAGGGGGUACCGACUGAGGAGGAGCCCUAGGAGGCUCAUGAGAUGGACACCCCUGCCAGCAACACCCGCUCCAAGAAGAGGGCGGAUGGGGCCACACCUUUUGCCGCACUUCCCUAGCCCUAGUUGGUGUCUACCAGACUUUACAGUUUAUCCUAUUUAUCGUUAUGCGAGUUAGUCAUUGACCAUACAGUCUAUGUUUAUGGCAAUGUAGUUCGGUUUCUUUAUUUCCGCACUUUUAUUAUGGGCAGUGUCCCAUCGUGAACAAGUUUGUGGUUUGCCGGUUUUCUAAAAGUUUUUAGUGAAUGUUUGAUUGUGUGAUUGAGACAUGUAUGAGUUAAUGUUUUCUUGUGGGGCUUAGAUAUCCUUAGCUCUAUCCUAUUUAUUUUCCUCAUCUAUGCUACCAUAAAACAGAUGCCUCCAAGACGCCAGAACCCCAACAACAAUGCUGAGGCUGGCAAUGUUGAGGUAGAUGGAAAUGCAGCCACUAUGCAGCAAUUGUUGGUAGCUCAAACUCAAUUUUUCCAAUUGAUCACACCGCAAAUGGCCAACAACAACCAGUAGAACCUCAACAACCACCAGCAACACCCCCGACCUCAAGUGGACAUGCUGACCUGUUUCCUGCGGUUACGUCCACCCACCUUCUCAAGCUCCACCGAACCCAUCAUGGCUGACGAUUGGCUUCGCUCAGUCAACAAGAACCUGAUUACCAUCAACUGCACUGUUGUAGAGAAAGUGAGGUUUGCCGCUCACUUGCUAGAAGGAUCAGCAACGUCAUGGUGGGAAAAUUUCCAGAUCACCACCCCCAUUGAGGAUGUCACUCGGGACAUGUUCCAGGAAGCCUUCCCCACCGCCCAUAUCUCUGCGGGAGUGCUAAGUCUGAAGAAGAAGGAAUUCCACAGGCUGCGACAGGGAGGCCGCACUGUGUCGGAUUGUAUUGAGGUGUUCAAUCAGCUGCCCCGCUAUGCACCGGAUGAUGUGAACACCGAUGCCAAGCGCUGAGAGAAGUUCUUGGACGGACUGAACGACGAGCUGUCGGUUCAGCUUGUUGUUGCCUAUACCCCCACCUACCAGUCAUUGAUUGGUAAGGCCAUCAUAUUGGAGAGCAAGCUAACUCAGAUGGAGAGUCGUAAGAGGAGACACCAUCAGGAAAACACUCACACUGGCCCGCACCAGAAGCAGCAAACCUCCUAUGAUGGAAGUGGCGGUUCAUCCUCGAGCAAGAAUGGGACCCAUAACAGCCACCGCAGUGGAGGUAACAGCCACAACCACCGCUAGGGUGGCAAUGGGAACAGGCACAAACAGCAGCACCUGCGUCAACACCAGUCUGCUUGCCCAGGGCCCAACAAUGGCAACGGCAACGGUAACAGCAACGGCAGGAACAAUGGCAAUGGCCAGGGCAAUAGUGGUCACUCUGGACAGAACCGCAACGCCAAUAAGGACCUGAGCCAAGUGGAGUGCUUCAGGUGUCACAAGUUGGGACACUAUGCAACCAGCUGCUCGGAGAACCUUGAGGGUGCUGGGAACAAGCCCAACCCGUUCCAAAAGGGCCACGUGAAUCACGUGGACGUGGAAGAGAUCACCGAGGAACCACGUAUCAAACUUGGCACCUUCUGCAUUAAUGCUUUUGAAGUACUAGUAUUAUUCGACACUGGUGCAUCUCAUUCAUUCAUCUCGAGAGUAUUGGUAGAUAGAGGCAAAUUACCCUCCGAGACCAUGGGUAGACCUAUGAAAGUAAGCUCACCUGGUGGAACAGUGAUGGCGACCCGGCACUGUCACCAACAACCCCUAGAUAUUGGAAGACACACUUUUCCCUCUGACCUCAUAGCAAUAGACUCCCGAGGACUAGACAUAAUCCUGGGAAUGGACUGGUUGACCCUGUAUGAAGGACUAGUAGACUGUGCCUAGAGGACCGUCUCACUUACGACCCCUGACAAGAGACGCAUCCGAUACAAGUCAACCCAUGAGCUUAAGAGACCUAAGGUCAAUGAUCUUAAGGGGUUAGCAUGGACGAGAUACCCAUAGUGAAGGAAUACCCGGACGUAUUCCCAGAGGAAUUACCAAGCAUACCACCGGAUCGUGACGUAGAGUUCCUCAUUGAGUUAAUGCCAGGAAGGGGACCCAUAGCCAGGAGACCAUAUAAGAUGGCUGUGGAUGAAUUAAAGGAAUUGAAGAAAUAGCUUGCAGAGCAACUGUCGAAAGGUUUCAUCCGCCCCAGUUCAUCACCAUGGGGAGCAUCCAUCCUUUUUGUGGAGAAGAAGGACAAGAGCCAACGGAUGUGCAUUGACUAUCGUUCACUAAACGAGGUGACGAUAAAGAAUAAAUAUCCUUUGCCCAUAAUCAAUGAUCUAUUCGAUCAAUUGAAAGGGGCACGUGUGUUUUCAAAGAUCGAUUUGAGAUCAGGGUAUUUUCAGCUGAAGACCCGAGAAGCGGAUAUACCCAAAACAACUUUCACCACUAGGUAUGGUCUGUAUGAGUACACCGUGAUGCCUUUUGGUUUGACCAAUGCACCUGCAUACUUCAUGAACAUGAUGAACAAGGUAUUCAUGGAAUUCUUGGACAAGUUUGUCGUGCUGUUCAUCGAUGAUAUCCUGGUUUAUUCCAAGAGCAAAGAAGAGCAUGAGCAGCACAUGCGCUUGAUUUUGGAGAAGCUGAGGACGCACAGGUUGUACGCCAAGUUCAGCAAGUGACUUUUGGUUGUCAAAAGUUAGUUUCCUUGGACACAUAGUGUCAGGAGCCGGAGUAGCUGUUGACCCAGCUAAGGUAGCAGCAGUUACAGAAUGGGAGGCGCCGAAGAACGUCGGAGAAGUCCGUAUUUUCCUAGGACUUGCUGGUUACUACCGGAGGUUCAUUGAGAAUUUCUCCAAGAUAGCAAAACCCAUGACCGAGCUCUUAAAGAAGGAGAAGAAGUUCGACUGGAAUGAGAAAUGUGAAGAAAGCUUCCAGGAAUUGAAGAAAAGUUUAGCGUCUGCGCCCAUCCUUAUUUUACCCGACCUGCAAGAAGACUUCCAAGUUUACUGUGACGCUUCACAUCAAGGAUUGGGAGGAGUUUUGAUACAAGAAGGAUGAGUUGUGGCGUACGCUUCGCGGCAACUAAAGAAUCACGAAAGGAACUACCCCACACACGACUUGGAAUUAGCCUCAGUAGUGCACGCCUUGAAGACUUGGAGACUGAUACGGGUCGGGGUGGCCCGAUCUUUCGAUGAGAUUGGUAACUCUCGAUUUGGGUAGGAGGUAACGUUGACGAUCUGACUACGGCCUAGGAGGCAGUGCCUUAGCAAUCGAUACACCAACUCCAGAGGGUUAUUGAUCACGCGGGGCACGAUCAACCUGACCACGAAGGUCUUUGUUCCUGCAAGCAAUCGAAGAACAAGCAAGAACAAGAUAAAUAGCGGAUA
rnacentral:lncRNA from 1 species